UCCUCUCUCUUGCUCUCCUUGCUCUCUAUCUCAAAUCUCGAUCAAAAGAUUUGAUUGAGAUUGAGCCAGUUGCACUAAGUGAUAGAGAGAGACAGGGACGAUUGUUCUUCUACCCUGUUCUUAUUUUCAUUUUUUUGCUGGAUGCAGACAGAGAGAGAGAGAGAGCGAAGAGUGCAGAGGAGAAUAGAGGGAAGCUGUCAGGGAGACCAUCAAACCAGGGUUUUACUGUUGCAACGAUACAGAGAAAUUUCCCCCAAACGAUCUCUCUCCAGAUGCUUCGUCUUCGAUCAAGUUUUAAUUUCAUAGCCAUUAACGCAAUAUAAGAGCUUAGUUGAGUAAGGGAAACUGCAACAUGAUCCAAACCAAGAAGCCGUGGCUUCUCAAUUGAAAAACUUGCUCAAGAGGUCAGGGCAGUAUGAGAAAGAUAUGGAGGAAUAUCAUGCAAGAGUUUUUCAAUUUUAAGCUUAAUUUUUAAGUUUGAGGAUUGAAAGCUUGAAUCUUUAUUUUCAAGUUUUGCGAUCAAGCCUUGCGAAUUGGGAGAACAAGAGAGUGUGGCGGAGGAUUUUAAUGGAGGAAGCUGAGAAUAAGCAGAAGAUAAGCAGAAGGACGACAUGUGGACAUCAAUGAACAACCAAAGGAACAAGCUUUUCCAGACAUGGAUGUCCAAGGCUCCUACAAGAUUGUGGAAUAAAAUUUAGUUUUAAGUAGUGAAACUGUAUAAAAUAUUUAAAAAGUGUUCAAACCAUUAUGCUAUUAGCAAUGUAAAAAUUUUCCAUAUA